AAAAAAAAGAAACAAAAGAUAAUUCGACGAACCUGGAAAUCUGUUGAAGGUAACAUCGAGCUCCAAGCGACCCAGGAGAGGCUGGCUCUCCCGGUCGAUCCCGGAGGAAUCUAUGGCUAGGGUUUGGUCGUUGCUCAGACCGGGAAUGAACUCGACGUCAGGCAGAAGAUCCGCAGGCGGUGGCGGCGGCGGAGGCGGUGGAGGUGGCGUUAACUGUCGCUCGUUCUGCGACGACAGACGCGGUUGCUGCUGCUGAUGGUGAUGGCUGCUGCUGCUGUUGCCGAUGGACAGAUCCACCAGGGCAUCGGUCUCCACGAGAGUGACCGCGGGACCGGUGAUGCUGUUCUGACUCUGGUACUCUCGAUAAGGCACGUGCAAUUGCCGCUGUUCCGAGUCGCUCAUUACAGGAUUGAUCCUGAUCGGUGCCGAAGUCGACGACCUUCUUAAUCUUUCAGUUUACCACCUCGACGACUCGAGCCUGUCUAUACCUUGCGACAUGCCCGCGAGCUCUCCUCGUUUCCGCGUGUUCCUCGUCCUCGGUUCUUCUACCUCGAUAACGCAGUUCCGUCUCGUGCCAACGUAAUGACAGAUGCAUCAGCAUAUCCUAUGCGUCUAUGCGUCAUCCAGAUCACUGUCUCAUGUAUUGUGUAUGUACGUACGUAUUGUGGACUAGAGGAAUACGCGACUUGUGGUCAUCGAUGUUGACAGGGAAGGGGACACUUGCUCCGAUUUGACUGAUUAACCAAAUUUUCAUCCGUCAUCCCAACCGCGGACACUAUCAGCUGAUAGGAUUACCGCCAUACUUGUACGACGCGUAUGCACUUUUCUCUCUCUCUCUCUCUCUUUCUUAUGUUAUAUGUGUAUAUACUGCGGUAUACUCUUAACGUCAUUGCGAAAUUAUCAUUGAUCUUCAACCGCGGGAAUUUUUUAAUGCCAGAGAAUAAAGAUAUGACAAGAUAUGUUGACAAGUGCGAGUGCACUUUGAGAAUAGAUUAAAGAUUAUCUUCCGUUUUUCUUUCAAUUUUCUCAAUCCGAGCACCUAUACGAAGAGCGAAAACGGGCGAAGCAGAGGAUCAGUUAUACACUAUUUCAUCUUUAGAUUUUAGAUAUCGAGCGUCGUUUCCUUGGUGUUAAAUUCAGUCCUUCAUAGCUCACACUCGAGCUGUACAAUAUGUUUUCUGAAAGCAAACAUGCUAAUUUAGUUUUAAAUUACAAUUGAGCAAUGAGAAUUUUAACAUCUUAAAAUAUUGAAAAUUGCAACAAACCUCUUGAACGUUUUAGAUUCAAGGGCGACAAUGGUUUUCCAUUCACCAAAACCUGCUUACGCUUAAUGGAAUGUUUACAGGGAGAUAGCCAUCCACUCAUAUUGCUCCAAGAAUUGUUGAAGUCUGAUAAUGCUGUAGACAACUCGUGGGAUGGACGAUAUUUUUGUGCACGAUAUCUUUUAAAUAAAUCCUUAUCUGGAAAUUAUUAACAA